UACGAAGGGUGCAAGCGUUAAUCGGAAUUAUUGGGCGUAAAGAGCUCGUAGGCGGUUUGUCGCGUCUGCUGUGAAAACCCAGGGCUUAACCCUGGGCCUGCAGUGGGUACGGGCAAACUAGAGUGCGGUAGGGGAGAUCGGAAUUCCUGGUGUAGCGGUGAAAUGCGCAGAUAUCAGGAGGAACACCGGUGGCGAAGGCGGAUCUCUGGGCCGUAACUGACGCUGAGGAGCGAAAGCAUGGGUAGCGAACAGG
rnacentral:rRNA from 1 species